UACGUAGGGGGCAAGCGUUGUCCGGAUUUAUUGGGCGUAAAGAGCGUGUAGGCGGCCAGGUAGGUCGGUUGUGAAAACUCGAGGCUCAACCUCGAGAUGUCGACCGAAACCAUCUGGCUAGAGUCCGGAAGAGGAGAAUGGAAUUCCCGGUGUAGCGGUGAAAUGCGCAGAUAUCGGGAGGAACACCAAUGGCGAAGGCAGCUCGCUGGGACGUGACUGACGCUGAGGAGCGAAAGCGUGGGUAGCAAACAGG
rnacentral:rRNA from 1 species